rnacentral:rRNA from 1 species
UACGGGGGGGGCAAGCGUUGUUCGGAAUUACUGGGCGUAAAGGGCUCGUAGGCGGCCAACUAAGUCGGACGUGAAAUCCCUCGGCUUAACCGAGGAACUGCGUCCGAUACUGGAUGGCUUGAGUUUGGGAGAGGGAUGCGGAAUUCCAGGUGUAGCGGUGAAAUGCGUAGAUAUCUGGAGGAACACCGGUGGCGAAGGCGGCGAUCCUGGACCAACACUGACGCUGAGUGAGCGAAAGCCAGGGGAGCAAACGGGG